GACGAACGCUGGCGGCGUGCUUAACACAUGCAAGUCGAACGCUGAAGCUCAGCUUUUGUUGGGUGGAUGAGUGGCGAACGGGUGAGUAACACGUGAGUAACCUGCCCCCUUCUUUGGGAUAACGCCCGGAAACGGGUGCUAAUACUGGAUAUUCACUGGUCUUCGCAUGGGGGUUGGUGGAAAGGGUUUUUCUGGUGGGGGAUGGGCUCGCGGCCUAUCAGCUUGUUGGUGGGGUGAUGGCCUACCAAGGCUUUGACGGGUAGCCGGCCUGAGAGGGUGACCGGUCACAUUGGGACUGAGAUACGGCCCAGACUCCUACGGGAGGCAGCAGUGGGGAAUAUUGCACAAUGGGCGCAAGCCUGAUGCAGCGACGCCGCGUGAGGGAUGGAGGCCUUCGGGUUGUGAACCCCUUUCGCUAAUGGUCAAGCCGCAACAAUGGUUGUGGUGAGGGUAGUGGGUAAAGAAGCGCCGGCUAACUACGUG
rnacentral:rRNA from 1 species